CUACGGAGGGUGCAAGCGUUAUCCGGAAUCAUUGGGUUUAAAGGGUCCGUAGGCGGACUAUUAAGUCAGGGGUGAAAUCCCACAGCUCAACUGUGGAACUGCCUUUGAUACUGGUAGUCUUGAGUUAUAUGGAAGUAGAUAGAAUGUGUAGUGUAGCGGUGAAAUGCAUAGAUAUUACACAGAAUACCGAUUGCGAAGGCAGUCUACUACGUAUAUACUGACGCUAAGGGACGAAAGCGUGGGGAGCGAACAGGAUUAGAUACCCUAGUAGUCC
rnacentral:rRNA from 1 species